rfam:Schistosoma mattheei strain Denwood, Zambia genome assembly, scaffold: SMTD_scaffold0006608
AGCCUUUUUAAUCUGCGCCGAGAUUUAGUCAGACACCAAACCAUCAGGACUGAUCAGACUCCUAAGAUAAAUGAAGCG